rnacentral:rRNA from 1 species
GAUGAACGCUGGCGGCGUGCUUAACACAUGCAAGUCGAACGGUGAACGAGGGAGCUUGCUCCCUCCGGAUCAGUGGCGAACGGGUGAGUAACACGUGAGCAAUCUGCCCUGGACUCUGGGAUAAGCGUUGGGAACGACGUCUAAUACCGGAUACGAGGCGUGGGGGCAUCCCCAACGCCGGGAAAGAACUUCGGUCCGGGAUGAGCUCGCGGCCUAUCAGCUUGUUGGUGAGGUAACGGCUCACCAAGGCGACGACGGGUAGCCGGCCUGAGAGGGUGACCGGCCACACUGGGACUGAGACACGGCCCAGACUCCUACGGGAGGCAGCAGUGGGGAAUAUUGCACAAUGGGCGCAAGCCUGAUGCAGCAACGCCGCGUGAGGGACGACGGCCUUCGGGUUGUAAACCUCUUUUAGCAGGGAAGAAGCGAAAGUGACGGUACCUGCAGAAAAAGCACCGGCUAACUACGUGCCAGCAGCCGCGGUAAUAC